GGUGAACGCUAGCGGCAGGCUUAAUACAUGCAAGUCGUGGGGCAGCAUGAGUAGCAAUACUUGAUGGCGACCGGCAAACGGGUGAGGAACACGUACACAACCUUCCUUCAAGCGGGGAAUAGCCCAGAGAAAUUUGGAUUAACACCCCAUAAUAUAUUUGAUAAGGCAUCUUAUUAAUAUUAAAGCUUCGGCACUUGAUGAUGGGUGUGCGGCUGAUUAGAUAGUUGGCGGGGUAACGGCCCACCAAGUCUACGAUCAGUAGCUGAUGUGAGAGCAUGAUCAGCCACACGGGCACUGAGACACGGGCCCGACUCCUACGGGAGGCAGCAGUAAGGAAUAUUGGACAAUGGACGAAAGUCUGAUCCAGCCAUGCCGCGUGAAGGAUUAAGGUCCUCUGGAUUGUAAACUUCUUUUAUAUGGGACGAAAAAGGGCAUUCUUGUUCACUUGACGGUACCAUA
rnacentral:rRNA from 1 species